GCUGGGCACAGUACCUAUAGUCCCAGCUACUGAGGAGGCUAAGUUGGGCAGAUCACUUGAGCCUAGGAGUUCUGGGCUGUACUAUGCUGACUUGGUAUCUGCACUAAGACUGACAUUCAUAUGGUAACCUCCCAGAAGUGGGGGACUAUUAGUUUGCCUAAGGAGGGGUAAAGUGGCCCAGGUUGGAAACGGAGCAGGUCAAAACUCCUAUACUGAUGAGUACUGGGACCACACCUGUGAAUAGCCACUACACUCCAGCCUGGGCAACAUGGUGAGACCCUGCCUCUU
ensembl:misc_RNA Metazoa_SRP Metazoan signal recognition particle RNA